rnacentral:rRNA from 1 species
AUACGGAGGAUGCAAGCGUUAUCCGGAUUUAUUGGGUUUAAAGGGUGCGUAGGCGGAUGAUUAAGCGUGAGGUGAAAUGCCACUGCUCAACAGUGGAACUGCCUCGCGAACUGGUUGUCUUGAAUGCUCCUGCCGUGGGAGGAAUGUGUGGUGUAGCGGUGAAAUGCAUAGAGAUCACACAGAACACCGAUUGCGAAGGCAUCUCACGAAGGGGUGAUUGACGCUGAGGCACGAAAGCGUGGGGAUCAAACAGGAUUAGAUACCCUGGUAGUCCACGCAGUAAACGAUGGGCGCUCGUCGUCGGCGACAGACAGUCGGCGGCCAAGCGAAAGCGAUAAGCGCCCCACCUGGGGAGUACGGUCGCAAGGCUGAAACUCAAAUGAAUUGACGGGG